GUGGGGAAUAUUCCGCAAUGGACGAAAGUCUGACGGAGCAACGCCGCGUGAGUGAUGAAGGUUUUCGGACUGUAAAGCUCUGUUGUUUGGGACGAAAGUGCCUGUUGCGAACAGUUACGGGUAUUGACGGUACUAAACGAGGAAGCCACGGCUAACUACGUGCCAGCAGCCGCGGUAAUACGUAGGUGGCAAGCGUUGUCCGGAAUUAUUGGGCGUAAAGAGCAUGUAGGCGGGAAUCUAAGUCUGUUGUUAAAAUGCGGGGCUCAACCCGGUAUUGCGAUGGAAACUGGGUUUCUUGAGUGCAGGAGAGGAAAGGGGAAUUCCCAGUGUAGCGGUGAAAUGCGUAGAUAUUGGGAGGAACACCAGUGGCGAAGGCGCCUUUCUGGACUGUGUCUGACGCUGAGAUGCGAAAGCCAGGGUAGCGAACGGGAUUAGAUACCCGAGUAGUCC
rnacentral:rRNA from 1 species